GACGAACGCUGGCGGCGUGCUUAACACAUGCAAGUCGAACGGUGAUCCCCAGCUUGCUGGGGUGAUCAGUGGCGAACGGGUGAGUAACACGUGAGCAACCUGCCCCCGACUCUGGGAUAGCCUCGGGAAACCGGGAUUAAUACCGGAUAUGACAUCACCAGGCAUCUGGUGGUGUGGAAAGUUCUUCGGUCGGGGAUGGGCUCGCGGCCUAUCAGCUUGUUGGUGGGGUGANGGCCUACCAAGGCGACGACGGGUAGCCGGCCUGAGAGGGCGACCGGCCACAC
rnacentral:rRNA from 1 species